AUAAAAGCAAAGAUAUAGGAUAUGUUCAUCUUCUGAUGCGUUUAGAGAGGAAAUGGCUGGUGAAAAUUUCCCGCAAGGAUGAUGGGUACUCCCUAUGAGCUGCGCUCGAAAGAGACCGCCGUUUUCCGCGUUAAGGACUAGAGGCAAUCGUCAACGAUUGUGAAUAAAGGUGGUACCACGAGACUUCGUCCUUUGA
rnacentral:ncRNA from 1 species